UUGCUGACAUCUCUCUUGCGUCAUAGUUAAGCAAAUAAGGCCACGGCCAUAGGUCGCCAUAAAAUUAAUCGCUUCGGACGUGAUAUGCUCUGCCGCGAUGAUUA
rnacentral:antisense_RNA from 1 species